CCUGCUCCAGAGCCGUCGCCUGUGACGCACCAGGUGGCCGUGGCCAGAAGGACUCAGCCUGUGCGGAGGCGGGACCCGCUGCGUUUUCCCGGGAAGCUCUCCCUUCAUCCCCGCGUGACGGUAGAGACACGGUCUUCAGGUUCCUUAUGAGGAAGGAAAGCCGCCUUCGCAUGCGUGAGCUGGCACAUGCCGGAUCGUUCCAGUUUGCUCUUUGUGCCGGUGGUGGGUUUCAAGCCAGGCAAGAAAGUGCAAGGUCGCUCUGGACACAUUUCCCCUCGGCCACCACCAUCCGUGUGGCUGGGCGGUGCCUGUUAUCGGGCCCGUCCAUCCCUGGGACGCCUUGGCUGCAGGUGACGCUGAGGCUCGCUCUCCUCAUGUCUAAUGGGCCUCAAACACCUCCUCACAGGAAGGAAGGAAGGGGUGUCUCCUCCCCAUCGAGUGGCUCCAGCCGUCUUCUCCGCACAGGGUUGGAGGGCCUCUUUCCUGGAGCAGGUAGUUUGUGAUGUGAAGUCUGCUCCUGGCUCUCUGCACGGCGGUGGGCGCCUCCGAGCUCCGGAGCCGGUGGAUACCACUGGGUUGUGUUGUGUUUUAUUUAUUGAAGGUGCUUUGUCAGGGAG